GGUCUCUUUUGCAGCCUCUACCAUGUUUUCUUCCAGCAUCACCCUGUAUUUAGCUCGUAUCACGUUUCCUGUCUCAACUGAAGAAAAACAUUCCCAUAGCAUAAUGCUGCCACUAUCAUGUUUCACUAUAAGAAUGGUGUGUUCAGGUACUGGUUAGUUUUCUCCCAUGCAUAGCAGUUUGCAUAUAGGCCAAUAUGUAAAGUUUUGGCCUCAUAGGAGCGGUACACCUUCUUCCACAUGAUUGCUGUGUUCCUUGCACAGGUUUUUGCAAACUGCAAACAGAACUUCUUAUGGCUUUCUUUUUGACCCUGUUCAGAUUUGUGUAGUGCACAACUAACAGUUAUUUUAUCGACAGAUUCUCCAACCUGAGCUCUGGCUCUCUGCAGUUCCUCCAGAGGCACCAUGGGCCUCUUGGCUGCUUCUGGUAGAUUGUCGUGUGUUUGUGGGUUUCCAGGUGUUUCCUGAGAGGCUUUAUAUAUAAAAUUACACGUUUCCUAACUGGUUGACUUCUGAAGGGAACUGGAUUUUACUAAGGGGUUAUUAAAGUAAACAUGGUUUCAUUUAAAUGCACUGUACUACACUGUUCAAAUUUUUGUCUGUAUGAUAAUGUAAGAACCACACAUCCUUCUCCUACUUCACCUUUAUGCUCUACUUUGUGUUGAUCAAUCACAAAAUCCUAUUAAAAGACAUUGAAGUUAGUGGUUGAGCUGUGACAAAGUUCUAGGGGUAUGAAUAGCUUUGCAUUGCACUGUGGAGAGGGUUUACCAUAUUGUUGUUAUUGGGAUAAUAACUUUAAAAAAAUCUGGAAUUACAUGUCUUGAUACCUUUUACAUUGAUGCCAAAGUCCUGAGUGGCAACGUGCAUCCAUUUACAAUCAGUACAUUUUUUUAGCAGCUACAAUUUGGCAGCAGACCAAUGCACAAACAGAACAGACCUUCUGAAAUCACCUUACUGCCUCAUCGUUUCCCGUUUCCCCUCUCCUCCUGUGGUUUUUAGUGGUUAUUAGUGACUUUUGCAUCUCAGAGUGUAAUCUUUCCGUGUCGUAUAUACAAAACAUAUACCAGUUGCAUCCUUUGUAGAAUAAUGUGGUUUGCAAAAUGUUUUGUUUGCCAUGUGUUUUUUAGAAAAGUAUUUUAAUUUAGCCUUUUUAUAGGACAGUGGAAAAAAAUCAGCAUGCCUUUUAUUGGAAAAAAUGUAUACUUUAAACAUUAUAAUGAUAAUAAAGAAUGUUUGGCUGACUACUGUGGUAAAAGAAAGCAAAGGGUUUGGACAUUUCGCCUUCUUCUUGUUUAUGUUCCUCUUUACUAUCUGUCUCCUCUUGUGUAAAAUAACCACCAGACCCAUUUGACUGGGGAUCCAGGGGGAGGCAGGUGUAGAUGCUGGCCCAGCUUUGCUGACUUUGCUCAGGGUCACCGUGCUACCUGGAACACCCUGUGUGCAGCCUCACGUGAGCCAUGGGGACGACUUUUAGCGCGACGCCACCGCAGUGGAAACUUGUUGUCUCUCUUUCUCUUCACCACCAAGGUAAAUCGACUAAGUACAACCGAAAGAAAUCAUGACAGCACUGACCUCUCUCCUACCUAAUUGCCCUCCCUCCCCUCACUUUCCUUUGACUGUGGCUUGAUACAGCACCCACCCCCUUCCUUCCCUUCGCCAUUACCACCUCCCCCUCUCUCUCCCAAGUCCGUAAUCUCUCUUCUACUGCAUCGGCAGUGUUUGUACCUGUAGCCUGGGUCUUCUCCUCACUGGGAGUGAUGGGCCGGCUGGGGUGGGGCAGGGUUAAGAGCCCUCCAUAGGACUGACCCUGUUCUGCAUCAGCAUAUGAGGUGCCCUUUGUUCGGGUGGUGUGUGAGCUGGUGAAAAAUAGGUGCGAUGUGUUAGUGUGUGCUUGUGUGUGUGUGUUUAAAAAAAAAACAUACUUUCUGGGCAUCAUUUCAUUGGUCAAUGAGGCUUGGCGUAAGUGGACACACCCAGAACCCAUCCCCUUGCCAGCUAAUCAACUCCUGUCCACCGCCGUAUUCGCCGCCCUCAACCCUCUUCACUCUUCCUCCCUUCUCCUUCUUUAACCCCCCACCCUGCUCUCCCUCUUUGCGCAUCUCCUCACCUCUCCGCCGUCCACGCACACAGCGCUUCCACCCCCCCUCCCCCACCCCCCUCCCCCGUCGGCACCGCCGCCACCUUGGAUCUGGGUUUCAUCGCUCUGGCUUGGACUCAACUUCCCAGAACCACCUACCUGACCCAAAACACAUACAUCCCCCCAUCAACCUUUGUUAUCAUAGACACCCAGGCGUGCCAAAAGGAGUAUGUAUUUGUGGCGUCCCGCCUUUUGGACUUUGUCCUGUGACAGAGAGAGACUUGAGGAAUUGCUUUGCUACAACUGUUGAAUGUUGGUUGUGCACAACAUGGCUAUGGUAGGGAUGUAAAGGCAACAUAUAAUGUCGGGCAACCUAAAACUAAAGGGUGACAGUUAACUUCCCAGAAACGUCCUAUAAGAAAGGCCCACAGGCCAGUCUUACCUGUAGAUUCUCAUCAAUCUCAGGGUUCUUAUAGGACUUUUCUGCUACCACUUCUUAGUAGCCUGUAUGUGUUCUGACAUGUUAGUAUUUGAAUUAGAGACUCUAAUCUUUGGGGACAGUUUCAUUUAAGUUGUUUAGCAUUGGCUUUGAGAGCUGCAGGAUGGGAGUGAUGCCCUCUUUAUGCCUAACAAGCAAAAAGACAGGACCAAGGAUUUGAUGAGAAGCAAAUAGAUGGGUUGAUUAUAAGGUGAGUUGGUGGUCUAGUUCCGAAGGUAUAGAACAACAAUAAAAGGGUUAAACAUUUGUUUUCUUACCCUUAAGACAUCGUACUCAAGCCAGUUUUUUUUAUAAGCAACCUCCUGUAGAGUAGGAGAACCCCCACACAGAAACUCCAUAUUUUUUCUUCACUCUCCCAACUUCCCCACUAAAGGCUUCUGGUGCUUGUGAGUCUGGGGCUUCAACCAUGCUUCAGUAAUUGCAGUCAAGCAUCUCUUAAAAAAAAGAGAACAAAAAAAUACCCUGCUCUUAAAUCAGUCGCACUGCAUCGCCAGCCAAAGCUCACUGCUGCCCCCUCCCCUCCGCACCAACCUACUCUCAUGCCCCAACCUUUCUGUCCACCUCUUUGUCUGUUGUUGUUUUAGCAGAGCAACUUGCAUGUGCAGAUUAUGCACGUGUCAGUUCAUUGUUUUGAUGGCAUCCUGAAGGUUAUGUCUGUCUUUCUACAGAUGAUAAUAUCUGAAAGAUACAGCUAAGUGCAAACUGGUAGUAAGCUAACCCUAUGAAGGGCCAAAAGUGUCACAAUCCAGUAAAUAUUAUGUGAUUAAGGAAAAAGUAAUUAAAUGUGUUUAAUGUAUUUUUUAAAUGUUUAAAUAAUUGAAUGUAAAACUCAUUGAUUCAAAUUUAAAGUCAGUAUAUGUUCAAAUCAGACUGAUUUAACUUAGUAGACCUUUCAUCGCUCCAGUGGCAUCUGAUUGGUUAAUCUGCGAAAGAGGUCCUUCCUCAGAUCAGUCACCUUUAACUAGAGCAAUGUUAGCCCCAGCCAUUGACCAUUUAUAAAACAUAAUCAUGAUGAGCUGCAGAACAGAACUAUAAAAUGAUAAUAGGGACACAUAUACAUAAAGAAAAUUGCUAUAUUAAAGAUUUUAAACAGGAAAUACUGAAAUAAGUGCUUAACUUUUCCAAACACUUUUGUCCCUCCAUGAAACCCCAACUGCUAUCAGACAUUUUGCAUUUUUUUCUUAAUGUGACUUUCCUAGCACAAAUUUGAAUGGGACAGGACUGAUGUAUAUAACAGCAGGGUCAAACCUCAGACAAGCGGGUCAACCUGACCAACACCUGCAGGAAGCAGUGUAGUUUUUACACAAUAUAGCUGCAAGUAUUAUUUACAUCUGGAUGUAGCUCAAUGAACAAUUAACAGCAGAUGACUGAAAAGCCUAGGGAGUUUUACACAAGCUGUUUUAUGAUGAAAACGAAAUAUGUUUACAUCGGUCAGAUCACACAUUUCAACUGUUCCCGGCCUCAUGAGAGGAGCCGUAAUGUAACCACUGAGCUUCUUAUAGUAGGUUAAUGGACCAAGCUUACUGUAGUUACACCAGAUGUUUGAUUAAUUACAAUAUAAAUCACUCUAGAUUCCAAAGACUUAAAGGGUGACUUAGUAAUUUGCCAUCUCAAGAGGAUAGGAAUGUGGAUCUGCUCAUGUCAAAGCAAUUAGCGUUAGCACAAAGCUGAAUGUUGGGGGAUUUUAAUUCCCAAAUGUUAGAUCAGAAAUUUGCAUCAACAUGUUUACUGUGAAUGACAAAUCCUGAUAUAGAUACAAGUUAUAUUGUAUGGUUGUGUAGUCAUAUAUAUAUAUAUAUAUAUAUAUAUAUUUGCCUAUUAAACUGUAUUUCUGAAAAUGUGUUUUUUUAUUUUGCAUGCAAAUUAUAAAUAAAUAUUUUUUUCUCAUA